CUUCGUUUGCUCAAAGAUUCGUUUGGAGGAACACUUGGAGCAGGAAAAGAGGAUUGUGAAGGAGCCUUGCUUGAACACACUGGACGAGUUCGAGACGUCCAACAGCUGAUUCAAGAUGGAUCGUCGUUCGGGGAGGAUCCGGAGCGCAAUGACUAUUACUGAGCCUUUGACGUGGACCCGGACUUCAUGCAUGAUCGGAUGAGGGUCGAUGUUAGGAGUGUAUUAUAUGGGGGGAUUGUUUUCACAGCUCUGAUUGUCAUUUCCCGUUUUGGGGCUGACUUAUCUCCUUGAAAACUGUAUUCAUAAAACUCAUGGCUCUGACCAUGGGAUGCACUUAUUCGCCUGCGGGCACUAUCCCCAAUUACUUUAUGUUUAUUA